rnacentral:rRNA from 1 species
UACGUAGGGCGCAAGCGUUGUCCGGAAUUAUUGGGCGUAAAGAGCUCGUAGGCGGUCUGUCGCGUCUGUUGUGAAAACUCGAGGCUCAACCUCGGGCUUGCAGUGGGAUACGGGCAGACUAGAGUGCGGUAGGGGAGACUGGAAUUCCUGGUGUAGCGGUGGAAUGCGCAGAGUAUCAGGAGGAACACCGAUGGCGAAGGCAGGUCUCUGGGCCGCAACUGACGCUGAGGAGCGAAAGCGUGGGGAGCGAACAGG